GUGGGGAAUAUUGGACAAUGGGCGAAAGCCUGAUCCAGCCAUGCCGCGUGUGUGAAGAAGGUCUUCGGAUUGUAAAGCACUUUAAGUUGGGAGGAAGGGCAGUAAGUUAAUACCUUGCUGUUUUGACGUUACCGACAGAAUAAGCACCGGCUAACUUCGUGCCAGCAGCCGCGGUAAUACGAAGGGUGCAAGCGUUAAUCGGAAUUACUGGGCGUAAAGCGCGCGUAGGUGGUUUUGUAAGUUGGAGGUGAAAUCCCCGGUCUCAACCUGGGAACUGCCUCCAAAACUGCAUGACUAGAGUACGGUAGAGGGUAGUGGAAUUUCCUGUGUAGCGGUGAAAUGCGUAGAUAUAGGAAGGAACACCAGUGGCGAAGGCGACUACCUGGACUGAUACUGACACUGAGGUGCGAAAGCGUGGGGAGCAAACAGGAUUAGAAACCCGGGUAGUCC
rnacentral:rRNA from 1 species